rfam:Oryza sativa Japonica Group DNA, chromosome 7, cultivar: Nipponbare, complete sequence.
AAUAAGUGCAGUUUUACACUAUUCACGUUCAACGUUUGACCGUUCGUCUUAUUUAAUUUUUUUUUAUGAUUAGUAUUUUUAUUACUAUUAUAUAAUAAAACAUUAAUAGUACUUUAUGUGUGACUAAAUGUUUUUAAAUAAUACGGAUGGUCAAAUAUUGGGCACAUAUAUUCACAGCUGCAUUUAUU